rfam:Colletotrichum gloeosporioides Cg-14 contig05065, whole genome shotgun sequence.
GGCCGGUUGGCCCAAUGGCAAGGCGUCUGACUACGAUUCAUCGUGCAAUCAGGAGAUUCUGGGUUCGACCCCCAGGCUGGUCA